rnacentral:rRNA from 1 species
AGUGAACGCUGGCGGUAGGCCUAACACAUGCAAGUCGAACGGCAGCACAGUAAGAGCUUGCUCUUACGGGUGGCGAGUGGCGGACGGGUGAGGAAUACAUCGGAAUCUACUUUUUCGUGGGGGAUAACGUAGGGAAACUUACGCUAAUACCGCAUACGACCUACGGGUGAAAGCAGGGGAUCUUCGGACCUUGCGCGAUUGAAUGAGCCGAUGUCGGAUUAGCUAGUUGGCGGGGUAAAGGCCCACCAAGGCGACGACCCGUAGCUGGUCUGAGAGGAUGGUCAGCCACACUGGAACUGAGACACGGUCCAGACUCCUACAGGAGGCAGCAGUGGGGAAUAUUGGACAAUGGGCGCAAGCCUGAUCCAGCCAUACCGCGUGGGUGAAGAAGGCCUUCGGGUUGUAAAGCCCUUUUGUUGGGAAAGAAAAGCAGCAGGUUAAUACCCCGCUGUUCUGACGGUACCCAAAGAAUAAGCACCGGCUAACUUCGUG